rnacentral:rRNA from 1 species
UACGGGGGGGGCAAGCGUUGUUCGGAAUUACUGGGCGUAAAGGGCUCGUAGGCGGCCAACUAAGUCGGAUGUGAAAUCCCCAGGCUUAACCUGGGAACUGCAUCCGAUACUGGAUGGCUUGAAUCCGGGAGAGGGAUGCGGAAUUCCAGGUGUAGCGGUGAAAUGCGCAGAUAUCGGGAAGAACACCCGUGGCGAAGGCGGUUCUCUGGGACGGUACUGACGCUGAGACGCGAAAGCGUGGGGAGCGAACAGG